GUGGGGAAUAUUGGGCAAUGGGCGAAAGCCUGACCCAGCAACGCCGCGUGAAGGAAGAAGGUUUUCGGAUCGUAAACUUCUAUCCUUGGUGAAGAUAAUGACGGUAGCCAAGAAGGAAGCCCCGGCUAACUACGUGCCAGCAGCCGCGGUAAUACGUAGGGGGCAAGCGUUGUCCGGAAUGAUUGGGCGUAAAGGGCGCGUAGGCGGCCUGGUAAGUCUGGAGUGAAAGUCCUGCUUUUAAGGUGGGAAUUGCUUUGGAUACUGUCGGGCUUGAGUGCAAGAGAGGUAAGUGGAAUUCCCGGUGUAGCGGUGAAAUGCGUAGAGAUCGGGAGGAACACCAGUGGCGAAGGCGACUUACUGGACUGUAACUGACGCUGAGGCGCGAAAGUGUGGGGAGCAAACAGGAUUAGAAACCCCUGUAGUCC
rnacentral:rRNA from 1 species